rnacentral:rRNA from 1 species
GGGCCCGCACAAGCGGUGGAGUAUGUGGUUUAAUUCGAUGCAACGCGAAGAACCUUACCAGGGUUUGACAUCCUGCGAAUCUCUUGGAAACAGGAGAGUGCCUUCGGGAACGCAGUGACAGGUGGUGCAUGGCUGUCGUCAGCUCGUGUCGUGAGAUGUUGGGUUAAGUCCCGCAACGAGCGCAACCCACGUCUUUAGUUGCCAGCAUUUAGUUGGGCACUCUAGAGAGACUGCCGGUGAUAAACCGGAGGAAGGUGUGGAUGACGUCAAGUCAUCAUGCCCCUUACAUCCUGGGCUACACACGUACUACAAUGCCCAGUACAAUGUGAACCGAUACCGUAAGGUGGAGGAAAUCCUUAAAACUGGGCUCAGUUCGGAUUGUGGGCUGCAACUCGCCCACAUGAAGCUGGAAUCGCUAGUAAUGGCACAUC